rnacentral:rRNA from 1 species
UGGGGAAUAUUGCACAAUGGGCGAAAGCCUGAUGCAGCAACGCCGCGUGAGGGACGACGGCCUUCGGGUUGUAAACCUCUUUUAGCAAGGAAGAAGCGAAAGUGACGGUACUUGCAGAAAAAGCGCCGGCUAACUACGUGCCAGCAGCCGCGGUAAUACGUAGGGCGCAAGCGUUAUCCGGAAUUAUUGGGCGUAAAGAGCUCGUAGGCGGUUUGUCGCGUCUGCUGUGAAAACCCGAGGCUCAACCUCGGGCCUGCAGUGGGUACGGGCAGACUAGAGUGCGGUAGGGGAGAUUGGAACUCCUGGUGUAGCGGUGGAAUGCGCAGAUAUCAGGAAGAACACCGAUGGCGAAGGCAGAUCUCUGGGCCGUAACUGACGCUGAGGAGCGAAA